rnacentral:rRNA from 1 species
UACGAAGGGGGCUAGCGUUGCUCGGAAUCACUGGGCGUAAAGCGCACGUAGGCGGAUCUUUAAGUCAGGGGUGAAAUCCUGGAGCUCAACUCCAGAACUGCCUUUGAUACUGGGGAUCUCGAGUCCGGGAGAGGUGAGUGGAACUGCGAGUGUAGAGGUGAAAUUCGUAGAUAUUCGCAAGAACACCAGUGGCGAAGGCGGCUCACUGGACGACUGUUGACGCUGAGGUGCGAAAGCGUGGGGAGCAAACAGG